GAUGAAGAACGUAGCGAAAUGCGAUACGUAAUGUGAAUUGCAGAAUUCAGUGAAUCAUCGAGUCUUUGAACGCACAUUGCGCCCCCUGGUAUUCCGGGGGGCAUGCCUGUCCGAGCGUCAUUGCUGCCCUCAAGCACGGCUUGUGUGUUGGGCCUCCGUCCUCCUCCCGGGGGACGGGCCCGAAAGGCAGCGGCGGCACCGCGUCCGGUCCUCGAGCGUAUGGGGCUUCGUCACCCGCUCUUGUAGGCCCGGCCGGCGCUUGCCGACACAUCAAUCUUUUUUCCAGGUUGAACUCGGAUCAGGUAGGGAUACCCGCUGAACUUAAGCAUAUCAAUAAGCGGAGGA
rnacentral:misc_RNA from 1 species